GGGUUGUGAGGUUAAGCGACUAAGCGUACACGGUGGAUGCCCUGGCAGUCAGAGGCGAUGAAGGACGUGCUAAUCUGCGAUAAGCGUCGGUGAGGUGAUAUGAACCGUUAUAACCGGCGAUUUCCGAAUGGGGAAACCCAGUGUGUUUCGACACACUAUCAUUAACUGAAUCCAUAGGUUAAUGAGGCGAACCGGGGGAACUGAAACAUCUAAGUACCCCGAGGAAAAGAAAUCAACCGAGAUUCCCCCAGUAGCGGCGAGCGAACGGGGAGGAGCCCAGAGCCUGAAUCAGUGUGUGUGUUAGUGGAAGCGUCUGGAAAGGCGCGCGAUACAGGGUGACAGCCCCGUACACAAAAAUGCACAUAUUGUGAGCUCGAUGAGUAGGGCGGGACACGUGGUAUCCUGUCUGAAUAUGGGGGGACCAUCCUCCAAGGCUAAAUACUCCUGACUGACCGAUAGUGAACCAGUACCGUGAGGGAAAGGCGAAAAGAACCCCGGCGAGGGGAGUGAAAAAGAACCUGAAACCGUGUACGUACAAGCAGUGGGAGCCUCUUAAUGGGGUGACUGCGUACCUUUUGUAUAAUGGGUCAGCGACUUAUAUUCUGUAGCAAGGUUAACCGAAUAGGGGAGCCGAAGGGAAACCGAGUCUUAACUGGGCGUUAAGUUGCAGGGUAUAGACCCGAAACCCGGUGAUCUAGCCAUGGGCAGGUUGAAGGUUGGGUAACACUAACUGGAGGACCGAACCGACUAAUGUUGAAAAAUUAGCGGAUGACUUGUGGCUGGGGGUGAAAGGCCAAUCAAACCGGGAGAUAGCUGGUUCUCCCCGAAAGCUAUUUAGGUAGCGCCUCGUGAAUUCAUCUCCGGGGGUAGAGCACUGUUUCGGCAAGGGGGUCAUCCCGACUUACCAACCCGAUGCAAACUGCGAAUACCGGAGAAUGUUAUCACGGGAGACACACGGCGGGUGCUAACGUCCGUCGUGAAGAGGGAAACAACCCAGACCGCCAGCUAAGGUCCCAAAGUCAUGGUUAAGUGGGAAACGAUGUGGGAAGGCCCAGACAGCCAGGAUGUUGGCUUAGAAGCAGCCAUCAUUUAAAGAAAGCGUAAUAGCUCACUGGUCGAGUCGGCCUGCGCGGAAGAUGUAACGGGGCUAAACCAUGCACCGAAGCUGCGGCAGCGACACUAUGUGUUGUUGGGUAGGGGAGCGUUCUGUAAGCCUGUGAAGGUGGCCUGUGAGGGUUGCUGGAGGUAUCAGAAG
rnacentral:rRNA from 1 species